rnacentral:rRNA from 1 species
CCUACGGGAGGCAGCAGUGAGGAAUAUUGGUCAAUGGGCGUAAGCCUGAACCAGCCAAGUCGCGUGAAGGAUGAAUGCCCUAUGGGUCGUAAACCUCUUUUAUAAGGGAAUAAAGUGUUGGACGCGUGGGGCUUCGUAUGUACCUUAUGAAUAAGGAUCGGCUAACUCCGUGCCAGCAGCCGCGGUAAUACGGAGGAUCCGAGCGUUAUCCGGAUUUAUUGGGUUUAAAGGGAGCGUAGGUGGAUUGUUAAGUCAGCUGUGAAAGUUUGUGGCUCAACCGUAGAAUUGCCGUUGAAACUGGGAGUCUUGAGUAUGUUAGAGGUAGGCGGAAUGCGUGGUGUAGCGGUGAAAUGCUUAGAUAUCACGAAGAACCCCGAUUGCGAAGGCAGCUCACUGGAC